UACGUAGGUGGCAAGCGUUGUCCGGAAUUAUUGGGCGUAAAGCGCGCGCAGGCGGUUAUGUUAGUCUGAUGUUAAAGCCCGGGGCUCAACCCCGGUCCGCAUUGGAAACUGCGUAACUUGAGUGCAGAAGAGGAAAGCGGUAUUCCACGUGUAGCGGUGAAAUGCGUAGAGAUGUGGAGGAACACCAGUGGCGAAGGCGGCUUUCUGGUCUGUAACUGACGCUGAGGCGCGAAAGCGUGGGGAGCAAACAGG
rnacentral:rRNA from 1 species